UCCCGAAACCGGGUGACAACGCCCGCACCCGGCGCCCGCCUGAGGCGCACGACUUGGCUCCCCAGAGGAGCUCGUACAGUCCGAAGAAACCGAGACUCAAAAGAGGCUGAGGCAACGGAGACUGAGAGAGGCAAAGUGUUUUGUCCAAGAGCACAACAGGGGCAGGUGGAGAAAUCCUGCAUUCAUUCAAUCAUGAGUCUAUUCAGCACCUACUCUUGGCAAGGCACCAUGGUCUGUGGCACACAGAG